GGCUCCCUUCUGUCAGCUGGUGACAGAAUUGGUGGCCACAGACUGACCAAUGGUCUGAUUGUUGAGCUCAAAGUGAGCAUGUCAAGGUUUUGUGUAUGGAACCCAAAAAUGCAGAACUUGCACUAGCAAAAUAAUAAACAAAAGUCCAAACAAACAAAUUAAAUAGGGCAAGGCAAAGGCAGAGUCAGGCAAUCCCAGGUUCAAAGUCCAGGCAGCAAAGGUUCAGUAAGGGUGAGGCAAUCCAAGGUCAGGGAACAGAUAGUUGGAAAACAGGUAACACAGGUAACAGUAGGAUAUAGCACAGAACAACUGAGCAACAAAGACUCAGGUGUUCCAGGUUUAAAAAGGCAGCCAGAUUGAAAGCCC